rnacentral:rRNA from 1 species
UUCCUUGGAAAAGGACAGCUGAGAGGGUGAAACUCCCGUCCGCCUGGUAGAAUGAGUCUUUGUCAAUGAGUCGAGUUAUUUGGGGUUGCAGCUCUAAUUUGGUGGUAAAUUCCAUCUAAAGCUAAAUAUUGGUGGGAGACCGAUAGCGUACAAGUACCGUGAGGGAAAGAUGCAAAGAACUUUGAAAAGAGAGUUAAAGAGUACCUGAAAUUGCUGAAACGGAAGCGAAGGAAACCAGUGUUUGUUGGUUCAUAUUUCCUUGGCCACUUGUGGUUUGGGCG